CUAAACUUUAUUGCCUCCUUUUUAAACUUGUAUUUACUCAGUGGAACAAGUUCCUGUGGAGCCAUACUACAUUCCUCUGUCUCAAGCUGAGGUACUUCAGGAGGGAAGUGAUGUUACACUGGUUGCCUGGGGGACUCAGGUGCAUGUAAUCAGAGAGGUGGCAACCAUGGCUCAGGAUAAGCUAGGCGUGUCCUGUGAAGUAAUUGACCUGAAGACCAUUUUACCUUGGGAUAAUGAGACUGUUUGCAAGUCAGUGGCAAAGACUGGACGACUGCUGAUCAGCCACGAGGCCCCUCUGACAGGAGGGUUUGCAUCUGAGAUUAGUUCCACUGUUCAGAGUGGGAAUCAACUUUAUAAACAUCAGCCACCUGUCUAGAAUCCCUGAAAGCCUAGAUGCACCAUUUAGUAAAUGCUGAAGUUGUAACAGAUUCUGUCCAAAUUGAAGAGUGCUUCCUAAACCUAGAGGCUCCUAUUUCAAGAGUAUGUGGCUACGACACUCCUUUCCCUCAUAUCUUUGAACCUUUCUACAUCCCAGACAAAUGGAAAUGCUAUGAUGCUGUUCGAAAAAUGAUUAAUUAUUGAUAAAAUUAUUGCUGAAGCCUACAUGCAUUCUAACCAGAAGAUGGGAGGAAUAACAAGAAUAUACAGAAGCCUUCUUUAGAACUCUUGGCAUUUAUUCAGUUCUGUGUGUUCUGGAAGUCGUAUAGCAGAUUAUCUUUUCUGAAGUAAACCCAGUCUAAAUGUCAUCUUGGCUAAUCUUCAAAAGCUCAGAUUUCUUCCUAAUUAUGAAAUCAAUGAUGGACAGGUGAUAGCUGUAAUAAAUAGUUUCAGAUGUAUUAAAAAAAUAAAUUCCAGAUGUAGUAUGAACUUUAUUCACUUUGCAGUGCUUCGCUAGGACACAUCUUUAAAUGACUUCACUGUAUAAAUAUUAUGUGGGAUUUUAUUCAAUAAAACAUAUUGUACUCA